rnacentral:rRNA from 1 species
CCCUGGCUCAGGAUGAACGCUAGCGGCAGGCUUAACACAUGCAAGUCGAGGGGUAUAGUUUUUCGGAACUAGAGACCGGCGCACGGGUGCGUAACGCGUAUGCAAUCUACCUUUUGCAGAGGGAUAGCCCAGAGAAAUUUGGAUUAAUACCUCAUAGUAUAGCAGUUUCGCAUGAAACCACUAUUAAAGUCACAACGGCAAAAGAUGAGCAUGCGUCCCAUUAGCUAGUUGGUAAGGUAACGGCUUACCAAGGCUACGAUGGGUAGGGGUCCUGAGAGGGAGAUCCCCCACACUGGUACUGAGACACGGACCAGACUCCUACGGGAGGCAGCAGUGAGGAAUAUUGGACAAUGGGCGCAAGCCUGAUCCAGCCAUGCCGCGUGCAGGAUGACGGUCCUAUGGAUUGUAAACUGCUUUUGUACAGGAAGAAACACUUCCCUCGUGAGGGAGCUUGACGGUACUGUAAGAAUAAGGAUCGGCUAA